GAGCAUGUGGGGGCUGGAUGUGUCCAGGGGAGUCUGAUAAGGGGGCUGCCAGGAGCCUAAAGAGGGUAUCUGCUCACAUGUUGGCUGCAGCAAGCAGGAAGGAACAGCCCCUGGACAACAGAGAAUUCCAAAAAAUAAGGCUUUCCAGGAUUUUCUGCGUAGCAUACCAGUUGAGCGCCCUAUACCUGACAGUUCAUUGGGUGAGGAUUUCCGCAGGCUGUGUUGGGCCCUGGAGGCGGGAGGAAUGGCUGGGUGUGUGAAGCAAAUGGAAAGGAUCCAGGUGCCAACAGCCCAACUGCUCAGCUUCCCAGACCUCCAGCCCAUGAAAGAAAGACACUACUGUGUUCAAGGGUCUAAAUGUUUUUCUACUUCUUCACAGAUAUUGCCAAGGUGCUGUCCAAAAGGGGCUUCCCUGGUGGUCAGUGGUAAAAAAUCUCCUGUGAUGCAACAGACAUGGGUUCGAUC
ensembl:lncRNA